UUGGAGACAAACUCUUUGUGUGUGUGCUGAGUGCAUUAAUGUCACCGUACCUUUUGUUCCAGGUGAGCCCGGCGGAGCGACACUUUCUGAUCCAACUUCUGCUGCUCGCGUUCGUGCUGAGCCUCAGUCUGCAUCUUGAUCUUGCUUUGGUAGGCGUUGAGCAGCUCCAUCUCCUGUUGCAGCUGCUGUUUCAGGGCCUGG